ensembl:snRNA U6 U6 spliceosomal RNA
UUGUUUUGGAAGCACAUAUACUAAAAUGGGAACGAUACAGAGAAGAUUGGCAUGGCCCCUGCGCAAGGAUGACACGCAAAUUCAUGAAAAGGGGGGGAGGGGU